rnacentral:tmRNA from 1 species
GGGGCUGACCUGGUUUCGACAGGGUAUAGGUGCCUGAAUUGCGAGUCGUGUGUUAUGUAUCACACGUUAAUCAAUGCAUAGAAAAAAUAAUCGCUAACGACGAAAACUUCGCUAUCGCCGCCUAAUAAGCGGUAGAUAGCCUCCGCACUCAGGGCUGCUCAGGGCCUGGAGAUUUGGCGGGGUCAAGCAACCUGAGAUCGCGCAGCGGCUUCUGUCAGCAGCUUAAGCGUUAAACGUAACCUGACUCGCCAGCGGAGUGAUGUGCUCAUCCAUCUAUCGCCAGGUUAAAUUGAUGAUGAAGAUAUGCUCGUAGACGUUCAUCGUACUGGUAGUCUGGACGCGGGUUCGAUUCCCGCCAGCUCCACCA